AUUGAACGCUGGCGGCAGGCCUAACACAUGCAAGUCGAACGGUAACAGGAAGAAGCUUGCUUCUUUGCUGACGAGUGGCGGACGGGUGAGUAAUGUCUGUGAAACUGUCUGAUGGAGGGGGAUAACUACUGGAAACGGUAGCUAAUACCGCAUAACGUCGCAAGACUAAAGAGGGGGACCUUCUGGCCUCUUGCCAUCGGAUGUGCCCAGAUGGGAUUAGCUAGUAGGUGGGGUAACGGCUCACCUAGGCGACGAUCCCUAGCUGGUCUGAGAGGAUGACCAGCCACACUGGAACUGAGACACGGUCCAGACUCCUACGGGAGGCAGCAGUGGGGAAUAUUGGACAAUGGGCGCAAGCCUGAUGCAGCCAUGCCGCGUGUAUGAAGAAGGCCUUCGGGUUGUAAAGUACUUUCGGCGGGGAGGAAGGGAGUAAAGUUAAUACCUCUGCUCAUUGACGUUACCCGCAGAAGAAGCACCGGCUAACUCCGUG
rnacentral:rRNA from 1 species